UAGGCACGUAGUCAUUUGGUACCACCGGAGGACGUACUGGCUCCAACGUACGAUAGGGAGAGUGACGCCUACACAAGUACAAGUGUAUUUCAGAAGCAAAUGAAGAUACCUUGCAGAAGUUUUUUAUAUGUGAGUUAGCAAGCACCCACACUACAGAAGAAAAUGUCUUCUACGUAAGCUGUAACUUCCAGCGCUGGAGCUGGAAUUUCAAGUUUUGCUGAAGAAGAAACUGCAUAAACAACUUAAAAUAAGCAGAUCCUUGGGCGGUCAUUACUUGUUUAUAAUUGCAACUGCAGAGAGCAAGAAUGAAAACUGAGUUUGCAAAUUGUUUUAAGAUCACUGAGAAAACCAUCCUCCAAUUUGAACUGUGCCCAGAAUAAGGCGUAUUCAGCACAGAAAUAUCCAUUUUGUGUGGACAGACAGAAAGAGCCAGGAAGGAGCUCUAUUUUGCAAUUCUCAAAUAAAAAGCAUUUAAACACUAUAUGAC